rnacentral:snoRNA from 10 species
AAAUAAGUUUUUAAAGUGUCUAAUGAUGAAUUUCAUAGGGCAGAUUCUGAGAUGAAAAUUGAAUUCAUCACUGAUACUUGUACUGUGAAAUCUGAAGACACUUAAAAACCU